rnacentral:tRNA from 1 species
UGUAGCUCAGUGGGAGAGUGACUGCCUUGCAUGCAUGAGGUCCUGGGUUCAAUCCUCAGCA